AAUUUAUUAGUUUAAAAUAAAACAUUACAUUUUCAAUGUAAAAAUAAAUCUAUAUUUAUAAAUUA
rnacentral:tRNA from 1 species